GACGAACGCUGGCGGCGUGCUUAACACAUGCAAGUCGAACGGAAAGGCCCUGCUUUUGUGGGGUGCUCGAGUGGCGAACGGGUGAGUAACACGUGAGUAACCUGCCCUUGACUUUGGGAUAACUUCAGGAAACUGGGGCUCAUACCGGAUAGGAGCUCCUGCUGCAUGGUGGGGGUUGGAAAGUUUCGGCGGUUGGGGAUGGACUCGCGGCUUAUCAGCUUGUUGGUGGGGUAGUGGCUUACCAAGGCUUUGACGGGUAGCCGGCCUGAGAGGGGGACCGGCCACAAUGGGACUGAGAGACGGCCCAGACUCCUACGGGAGGCAGCAGUGGGGAAUAUUGCACAAUGGGCGGAAGCCUGAUGCAGCAACGCCGCGUGCGGGAUGACGGCCUUCGGGUUGUAAACCGCUUUCGCCUGUGACGAAGCGUGAGUGACGGUAAUGGGUAAAGAAGCACCGGCUAACUACGUG
rnacentral:rRNA from 1 species